UCAGCUUCAUAGUUUAAUAUAAAAUGUGAAUUUUGGGGAUUUGAGAUCUUAGUUAUAUUAAGUGAGUUGAGCC
rnacentral:tRNA from 1 species